UUUAUUAUGGCGGUUUUCAAGCGCACGGCGCAUAUUAGUGUAUAACUUUUUCCCUCAUUUUUUCUGGAAUUUCCCACCCUAAUUAAAACACCCGAUUAGAGACCCGUACGCCUCUCUCUACUUCCUCAAUCUUAAACUGGCUUGAUACGUCACUCGCCUCUCUACUCUCACUAGCUAGACUGUAAAUUCGUCCAAGUUUUGGAUUUCCUCGGUUAACUGGUAAUUCUCGCUCCCCAGUUGUUGCUAGGGUUGAGAAUUUGGUUACAACCAUUCCCUAAAAUAUUGAUAAUUCUAUUUCUUAAGUUUCAAAUCGACAGUGAGAAAUCGUUGCUAGAGUCAAAUCUUUUCUUUUCUAUUCGGUAUGGUUCAUGCUUGUUUGGGAGUGUAGUGAUUUUCUCCAAUUUUUGUUCUAAUCGUUUCAUAUCUUUAAUUCUCGAAUAUAUUUUUUGUUAUUUUUCUUUUCAGUUGGGUUUGAUCUUUGUUUUAAUUUUUGCUAUUUUGUUUGGUAUUGGAUUGUACUCAUAUUGCAUGUACAUAAUUUUGAUAUUUUAGGUUGUUGUUUGAUGCUUCUGUUUUUUUAAACUAAGUGUUUAAACUUUUCUGAAACUCUAUAUUCCCAGAUAUACUCUAUUAUUGAAGUUUCCACAGAUUGAGAUGCAACCUUUUGUUUCUUUAUUUUUUUCUUAUUUUUGACUCGUUUUGUUUCAUAGAACUAUUUUCACUGUGUUAUGGGAAUUUGUUUAUGUUUUAGAAAAACUAUCAUACUGAAAUGACCUGUUAAAAAUUGAAUUUAUUGCUGAAGAUGAGAUAAGAAAAAAGAGAGAGUUAUGUUUGUGUUUUCCAAAAGGAGUAUGUGUGUGUAUUAUUGUAUUAGAAUUGUUAUAUAAUUCCGAGCUAAUAUUCACCUAAUACUAUUAUAUUGGUUUGGUAGGUAGCCGAGGGAACACAUACAGCUGCUGAAGAAGUUAAAGGGAUUGACGUUAAUCGUAAACCAUUUGAUAGGUAUAGCUAAUUUUUUUAAGGCAGAUUAAUCCUAUUUUAGUGUUUAGUUACCUUUUAUCAGUAUAGCUUUCCCACUAAAUGUUAGAUUCGUGCUUCUUUCUUGUAUAAUCAUAUUAUUCUUACAUAUA
rnacentral:lncRNA from 1 species